rnacentral:rRNA from 1 species
AAACCCCCUCGCCGAAAGACUAAGGUUUCCUGAUCAACGCUAAUCGGAUCAGGGUCAGUCGGGUCCUAAGGCUCAGCCGAACGGCGAUGCCGAUGGCAGAAACGGUUAAUAUUCCGUUACUACCUUCAGGAGUGACGUGGAGACGCAGUAGUGACAGUGCCGCCAUCUGACGGAAUAGAUGGUUGAAGGGUGUAGGAGUCGAUCAUGGCAGGCAAAUCCACCAUGAGAUCCGAACCUGAUAGUAUGCCGCGUCCUUCGGGACAAGGCAAUAGUGCGCGUAAGCAUGCUGCCGAGAAAAUCCGCUAAACUUAAUCCUGCAGGUACCCGUACCGCAAACGGACACACGUAGUCGGGAUGAAUAUUCUAAGGCGCUUGAGUGAUUCACGGUUAAGGAACUAGGCAAACUGACCCUGUAACUUCGGGAUAAAGGGUCCCUACCCUUUUAUGGGAGGGCGCAGAGAAUCGGUCCAGGCAACUGUUUAACAAAAACACAGGGCUGUGCCAAAUCGAAAGAUCCAGUAUACAGCCUGACACCUGCCCGGUGCUGGAAGGUUAAGAGGAGAUGUCAUCGAUAAGAGAAGCGUUGAAUUGAAGCCCCAGUAAACGGCGGCCGUAACUAUAACGGUCCUAAGGUAGCGAAAUUCCUUGUCGGGUAAGUUCCGACCUGCACGAAUGGUGUAAUGAUCUGGACGCUGUCUCAACCGUGAGCUCAGUGAAAUUGUAGUAUCGGUGAAGAUGCCGAUUACCCGCGAUGGGACGAAAAGACCCCGUGAACCUUUACUAUAGCUUAUCAUUGAAUCUGGGCACGUGAUGUGUAGGAUAGGUCGGAGGCUUUGAAGCAGGUACGCCAGUAUUUGUGGAGCCGCUGUUGAAAUACGACCCUUUAUUUGUUUGGAUUCUAACCCGUGGAUACGGGGACAUUGAUUGGUGGGUAGUUUGACUGGGGUGGUCGCCUCCAAAAGCGUAACGGAGGCUUCUAAAGGUGCCCUCCGGCCGAUUGGUAACCGGCCUUAGAGUGUAAUGGCAUAAGGGCGCUUGACUGGGAGACUGACAAGUCGAUCAGGUAGGAAACUAGAGCAUAGUGAUCCGGUGUUUCCGCAUGGAAGGGACAUCGCUCAAAGGAUAAAAGGUACUCCGGGGAUAACAGGCUGAUCCCUCCCA